AAUGAACGCUGGACACACAGGGAAAACAUCACAAAGUUACCAGCUUCAGUGAAAGCAGACCAAGUUGUAUCCCGCCGCUUGCUCAAAGUAGGCUGGAAGAGGCUGUCGGUCACCUGUGACCCUAAUGACAACAAGCAGUACAGAAAAUGGGUGGGUGGAUGAUGUAAAAUGGCAACAUUGAAAACAGAGGAGGGAGUUCUCGGCGCGAUGUCUCAUUCUCGGUAGAGCUUCCGGAGAAGAAACAUCGUUGUCUGAGUGGUCAUUUCAUCUCCCUUCAUUCAGGUAUGAUACCUGAAUAUUAAUGUGCAUAAGCUUUAAGAAACCAGUGGGUUAAAACUAAGUCAUAUAAUUGUUUUGAAUCUGUACUUUCACGUUUAUGUCCGAGUUGAGUUCGCUAGUUUGGGGGACGCUCAGCGGCCAUUGUGGAUUGGCGCGGGUGAGAAGUGGGAAGUCACGUGAUGCGUGCACACUCAGGCAAUGUGCCUAUACAUGCACAUGCAACUGAAGAGGUUUGGGGCGAUGUGUGUGUUCAGAAUUGAUGUAUUUUUUCUAUUGAUAUUAUUGGCAAACUAUUUCAUUAGUCUAUAGAUUUACAGAUAAAUGAAUAUGUUUAUUUACUGCUUAGUUUAUUGGAAGCAUAAUGCAUCUUGUAUAUGUAAGUUUUGUUUAUCACAUUAGAAAACAGUUUUGUGAAAAUGCAUGUUAUAUAAAAGAGUAUUAUUUUGUAUCAUUGUUGGAAUAUUUGUAUUCAAGUGUCUUGUAUUAUUUAUGACUACUUAAAAUACAUCAUUCUCGGUAGAGCUUCUGGAGAUGAAA